CUGAUGGUGUGUUCAUUCUUUAAUCAGACAGAGCCCAAUCCCGAACAUUCUGAUGUCUUUUUCAAGGCUCUCUUGUGCAUGCGUUAAAAAACUGUCAACCAAUCUCCUGCAUCUGAAACCAUCAAUUUCUGAAGACACACCUCUUCUGUGAGCACUGAAAUAAAGCAUUGCCAUUAGAGCACAGAAAACAUGAAUUGAUCUACAGUGUAGUCAACAUGGAAAAAUAUCUGUUUCUAAUUUUAAUUCUGACUUCAGGUGUGAUGACUGCAGACCAGAUUGGACCAAAUAAAGAAACUGUCAUCAUAAAGAAGGAAGACGAGACUGUGACUCUCAGCUGCUCAUAUGAAACUAGCAGCAAUUAUGUUAGACUUUACUGGUACAGACUGUAUAUUAAUGAAGAACCUCGGUAUUUAAUGUGGAAAGAAGCUCGUUCAUGGACCAGUACUGGGAGCCCCUCUGAUUCUCGCUUUCAGUCGACUACAUCAGAUUCAUCCACUGAACUCAUUAUUAAUGGAGUAACUCUGUCAGAUUCAGCUCUCUAUUACUGUGCUCUAAGAGUUGGAGCCCAGUGAUACAAAGUCUAAGUGAAGCUGUACA